UACGAAGGGUGCAAGCGUUACUCGGAAUUACUGGGCGUAAAGCGUGCGUAGGUGGUUUGUUAAGUCUGUUGUGAAAGCCCCGGGCUCAACCUGGGAAUGGCAAUGGAUACUGGCAGGCUAGAGUGCGGUAGAGGGUAGUGGAAUUCCCGGUGUAGCGGUGAAAUGCGUAGAGAUCGGGAGGAACACCAGUGGCGAAGGCGGCUCUCUAGUACGGUACUGACGCUGAGACGCGAAAGCGUGGGGAGCGAACAGG
rnacentral:rRNA from 1 species